UACGUAGGGUGCAAGCGUUGUCCGGAAUUAUUGGGCGUAAAGGGCUCGUAGGCGGUUUGUCGCGUCGGGAGUGAAAUCCACUGGCUUAACUGGUGGCUUGCUUUCGAUACGGGCAGACUGGAGGUAUGCAGGGGAGAACGGAAUUCCUGGUGUAGCGGUGAAAUGCGCAGAUAUCAGGAGGAACACCGGUGGCGAAGGCGGGUCUCUGGGCCGAUACUGACGCUGAGGAGCGAAAGCGUGGGGAGCGAACAGG
rnacentral:rRNA from 1 species